UACGUAGGGGGCAAGCGUUGCUCGGAAUUACUGGGCGUAAAGGGAGCGUAGGCGGGUUAUCAAGUUGGAGGUGAAAGCCCAGGGCUCAACCUUGGAAUUGCCUUCAAAACUGAUAGCCUAGAGUAUGAUAGAGGUAUGUGGAACUCCGAGUGUAGAGGUGAAAUUCGUAGAUAUUCGGAAGAACACCAGUGGCGAAGGCGACAUACUGGGUCAUGACUGACGCUGAGGCUCGAAAGCGUGGGGAGCAAACAGG
rnacentral:rRNA from 1 species